UACGGGGGGGCAAGCGUUGUUCGGAAUUACUGGGCGUAAAGGGCUCGUAGGCGGCCAACUAAGUCGGAUGUGAAAUCCCCAGGCUUAACCUGGGAACUGCAUCCGAUACUGGAUGGCUUGAAUCCGGGGGAGGGAUGCGGAAUUCCAGGUGUAGCGGUGAAAUGCGUAGAUAUCUGGAGGAACACCGGUGGCGAAGGCGGCAGCCUGGACCGGCAUUGACGCUGAGGAGCGAAAGCCAGGGGAGCAAACGGG
rnacentral:rRNA from 1 species